AUGAACGCUGGCGGCGUGCCUAAUCCAUGCACGUCGAGCGAACAGAUGAGGAGCUUGCUCCUCUGACGUUAGCGGCGGACGGGUGAGUAACACGUGGAUAACCUACCUAUAAGACUGGGAUAACUUCGGGAAACCGGAGCUAAUACCGGAUAAUAUAUUGAACCGCAUGGUUCAAUAGUGAAAGACGGUUUUGCUGUCACUUAUAGAUGGAUCCGCGCCGCAUUAGCUAGUUGGUAAGGUAACGGCUUACCAAGGCAACGAUGCGUAGCCGACCUGAGAGGGUGAUCGGCCACACUGGAACUGAGACACGGUCCAGACUCCUACGGGAGGCAGCAGUAGGGAAUCUUCCGCAAUGGGCGAAAGCCUGACGGAGCAACGCCGCGUGAGUGAUGAAGGUCUUCGGAUCGUAAAACUCUGUUAUUAGGGAAGAACAAAUGUGUAAGUAACUAUGCACGUCUUGACGGUACCUAAUCAGAAAGCCACGGCUAACUACGUG
rnacentral:rRNA from 1 species